UUAAAGUUGUUGCAGUUAAAAAGCUCGUAGUUGAACCUUGAGCCUGGCUGGCCGGUCCGCCUCACCGCGUGCACUGGUCCGGCCGGGUUUUUCCUUCUGGGGAGCCGCAUGCCCUUCACUGGGUGUGUCGGGGAACCUGGACUUUUACUUUGAAAAAAUUAGAGUGUUCAAAGCAGGCCUAUGCUCGAAUACAUUAGCAUGGAAUAAUA
rnacentral:rRNA from 1 species